rnacentral:rRNA from 1 species
AACGAACGCUGGCGGCAUGCCUAACACAUGCAAGUCGAACGAAACCUUCGGGUCUAGUGGCGCACGGGUGCGUAACGCGUGGGAACCUGCCCUUAGGUUCGGAAUAACUCCCCGAAAGGGGUGCUAAUACCGGAUAAUGUCUUCGGACCAAAGAUUUAUCGCCUUUGGAUGGGCCCGCGUUGGAUUAGCUAGUUGGUAGGGUAAAAGCCUACCAAGGCGACGAUCCAUAGCUGGUCUGAUAGGAUGACCAGCCACACUGGGACUGAGACCCGGCCCAGACUCCUACGGGAGGCAGGAGUGGGGAAUAUUGGACAAGGGGCGAAAGCCUGAUACAGCAAUGCCGCGUGAGUGAUGAAGGCCUUAGGGUUGUAAAGCUCUUUUACCCGGGAUGAUAAUGACAGUACCGGGAGAAUAAGCACCGGCUAACUCCGUG